UUAGAAGAGAAACAGAAGAAAGAAUGCGAUAAAAGAGAGAGAAAGCGACAGAGAAGGAAAGAAACAGAUAGAAAAGAGAGAAAGAGAAGAAUUUAGAGAGAGAAGAAGAGUCUCUAUUGAUUAGAAACUCUAGAAUGAUUUACAUUAGAGCUGGUCAGCUCUAUUUAAACAGCUUUCAGCUCUCCCUCUUGGCAGUUACAACUAUCCUAGCUCUAAAACUACUUCUAGCUUCUUUUGCUUCCUUCAUUCGAUUGCGUAACAACUUUUCCCUCCUUCUCAUUCCCUUAUUCCUAAACCUUCUUCCAUAACAAGAAAGCGUGUGACAUAUAUUA
rnacentral:misc_RNA from 1 species